rnacentral:pre_miRNA from 1 species
GUUCUUUCCUAAGUACUAGUGCCGCAGGAGAGAUUUAAACAUAAAACCCCUGCUGCCCAAGUGCUUAUCGAAGAGG